AUCUACAGCCAUGCCACCCUGAACAAGACCGGUCCCGUCUGAUGUCGGAAGCUAAACAGGGUCGGGCCUGGUUAGUAUUGGGAUGGGAGACUACCUAGAAAGACCAGGUGCUGUAGGCA
rnacentral:rRNA from 1 species